ACCCCGCAUAAAGCCGCUGACAAGAGUGGAAGACUGCAGGCUGCACCGUCUUUGCUAAUUGGUAAGUGCAUUAUACAAGUAUAAUUUAGUGGGAAUGCUGGCCUCCAUUGGUGGAAGAGAUACCAAAAACAUCAUAACCAACCAAGGCCAUUAUGGCUUGAGCAGUGAGGAAGAAUCGCAUGUCUGACAAAGCCACCGACACCGAGAUAAACCA